GUUGUUGGGUAGGGGAGCGUUCUGUAAGCCUGCGAAGGUGUGCUGUGAGGCAUGCUGGAGGUAUCAGAAGUGCGAAUGCUGACAUAAGUAACGAUAAAGCGGGUGAAAAGCCCGCUCGCCGGAAGACCAAGGGUUCCUGUCCAACGUUAAUCGGGGCAGGGUGAGUCGACCCCUAAGGCGAGGCCGAAAGGCGUAGUCGAUGGGAAACAGGUUAAUAUUCCUGUACUUGGUGUUACUGCGAAGGGGGGACGGAGAAGGCUAUGUUGGCCGGGCGACGGUUGUCCCGGUUUAAGCGUGUAGGCUGGUUUUCCAGGCAAAUCCGGAAAAUCAAGGCUGAGGCGUGAUGACGAGGCACUACGGUGCUGAAGCAACAAAUGCCCUGCUUCCAGGAAAAGCCUCUAAGCAUCAGGUAACAUCAAAUCGUACCCCAAACCGACACAGGUGGUCAGGUAGAGAAUACCAAGGCGCUUGAGAGAACUCGGGUGAAGGAACUAGGCAAAAUGGUGCCGUAACUUCGGGAGAAGGCACGCUGAUAUGUAGGUGAAGUCCCUCGCGGAUGGAGCUGAAAUCAGUCGAAGAUACCAGCUGGCUGCAACUGUUUAUUAAAAACACAGCACUGUGCAAACACGAAAGUGGACGUAUACGGUGUGACGCCUGCCCGGUGCCGGAAGGUUAAUUGAUGGGGUCAGCGCAAGCGAAGCUCUUGAUCGAAGCCCCGGUAAACGGCGGCCGUAACUAUAACGGUCCUAAGGUAGCGAAAUUCCUUGUCGGGUAAGUUCCGACCUGCACGAAUGGCGUAAUGAUGGCCAGGCUGUCUCCACCCGAGACUCAGUGAAAUUGAACUCGCUGUGAAGAUGCAGUGUACCCGCGGCAAGACGGAAAGACCCCGUGAACCUUUACUAUAGCUUGACACUGAACAUUGAGCCUUGAUGUGUAGGAUAGGUGGGAGGCUUGAAGUGUGGACGCCAGUCUGCAUGGAGCCGACCUUGAAAUACCACCCUUUAAUGUUUGAUGUUCUAACGUUGACCCGUAAUCCGGGUUGCGGACAGUGUCUGGUGGGUAGUUUGACUGGGGCGGUCUCCUCCUAAAGAGUAACGGAGGAGCACGAAGGUUGGCUAAUCCUGGUCGGACAUCAGGAGGUUAGUGCAAUGGCAUAAGCCAGCUUGACUGCGAGCGUGACGGCGCGAGCAGGUGCGAAAGCAGGUCAUAGUGAUCCGGUGGUUCUGAAUGGAAGGGCCAUCGCUCAACGGAUAAAAGGUACUCCGGGGAUAACAGGCUGAUACCGCCCAAGAGUUCAUAUCGACGGCGGUGUUUGGCACCUCGAUGUCGGCUCAUCACAUCCUGGGGCUGAAGUAGGUCCCAAGGGUAUGGCUGUUCGCCAUUUAAAGUGGUACGCGAGCUGGGUUUAGAACGUCGUGAGACAGUUCGGUCCCUAUCUGCCGUGGGCGCUGGAGAACUGAGGGGGGCUGCUCCUAGUACGAGAGGACCGGAGUGGACGCAUCACUGGUGUUCGGGUUGUCAUGCCAAUGGCACUGCCCGGUAGCUAAAUGCGGAAGAGAUAAGUGCUGAAAGCAUCUAAGCACGAAACUUGCCCCGAGAUGAGUUCUCCCUGACUCCUUGAGAGUCCUGAAGGAACGUUGAAGACGACGACGUUGAUAGGCCGGGUGUGUAAGCGCAGCGAUGCGUUGAGCUAACCGGUACUAAUGAACCGUGAGGCUUAACCU
rnacentral:rRNA from 1 species